CACUUUUAUCAGGAGCGAAAUCUGCAGGGCUAAUACCCAUGCAGUCUGACGGUACCUGAGGAAUAAGCACCGGGCUUAACUCCCGUGC
rnacentral:rRNA from 1 species